UCUGUCAGAAGCUGAUGCCAGUGGCCUUCCUCUGAAGCGCAGCCAUGUGCAAAGCCGGGGGAGGAGCACGGAGUGUGGCACAGCACCCAAGAGAGCAGUGACCAGCUCGGAUGUGCUGAAGGACAUCACGGACAUCCAGGGUUUGCUCUCUUGGAUCAAUGAGGUGGCAAGAGCUGUUGAGGUCCCCCGUGAGAACCCCAGCAGCCCUGCCCCAGGAUGCUUCAUUGC